rnacentral:rRNA from 1 species
AGAAUCAACGCUGGCGGCGUGCCUAACACAUGCAAGUCGCACGAGAAGGGGAGGCAAUCCCUGAGUAAAGUGGCGCACGGGUGAGUAACACGUGAAUCAUCUACCUCCGAGUGGGGAAUAACUGAGAGAAAUCUUAGCUAAUACCGCAUAACACUUACGAGUCAAAGCAAGCAAUGCGCUUGGAGAGGAGUUCGCGGCCGAUUA